rnacentral:ncRNA from 1 species
UCAUGACUUUGGUUUCUCUAGGCUUGCUUAGGGAAUGAAAAAAGGAAUUCGGUGUAAAUCCGAAACUGUAUCUGCAGCUGUAAAUACUAAGAGUCGAUUUUAAUAAGUCACUGACCGUCACCCGACGGUUGGGAAGACAAAAUCGAUAAGGUAUGAGUCAGAAUACUUGCCCUAGUCAAU